rnacentral:rRNA from 1 species
CAGUCGUACCGACGAGAAAUCAACCUUUCAAGUGCGAACCUGUGGGCGUGCGUGAGUCUUUAACGGGCCUCGCUGUUUGCAAUGUUUGUGCUUUUGGGGUGUACUUUUUCGUAUGGUAGGCCAACGUCAGUUUCGAUCACCGUAAAAUGAUCGGAGGAAUGUAGCUUUGAUCUCGUAUUGAAGUGUUAUAGCCUCUGGUAGAUGCGGUGACCGAAACUGAGGAUUGCAACGGAAUACCCUUCUGGGCUAUCCGUCUGACCUCUGAAAGUUGCUUAGGUGCCGAAAGCGUGCUUACGGCUAUUUAAG